GAAACAUCUAAGUACCCGGAGGAAAGGACAUCAAUUGAGACUCCGUUAGUAGUGGCGAGCGAACGCGGACCAGGCCAGUGCUCUUAUCAAUCGAACCGGAACCGUCUGGAAAGUCGGGCCGCAGUGGGUGACAGCCCCGUACGGGUAGGAAAGAUAAGAGACUCGAGUAGGGCGGGACACGUGAAAUCCUGUCUGAACAUGGGGGGACCAUCCUCCAAGCCUAAGUACUCCUACAUGACCGAUAGUGAACCAGUACCGU
rnacentral:rRNA from 1 species